ACAUUGUACAGGUGACAUCUCAGUAGUCUGUGUGUGUCAGUGCAGAGACAUCAGGAUGGCUUCUCAGGGGGUUCUGCUGCCUCUCAUACUGCUUUAUAUUCAGGGGAGUUGGGCAGAUAUUACACUGACACAAUCUCCAAAUUAUUUAAGUGCAAAUCCAGGAGACACAGUCACCAUGUCAUGUAAAUCCAGUACUGGUAUCGGCAAUGCGUUACACUGGUACCAACAGAAACCAGGACAACGUCCAACACUGAUCAUCAGAUAUGCAACCACUCUGCAGUCUGGAGCCCCAACCAGGUUCAGUGGAUCGUAUUCAGGAACAGAUUUUACUCUUAAGAUCAGCAACAUAAAGGAAGAAGAUGAAGCAAUGUAUCUCUGUCAGCAGAGUAACAGCUGGCCUCUCACACAGUGAUACAGAGCCGUACAAAAACCUCCUUCCUCUUUUAUCAGCAAUGACAUUUCACAUCACAUAUAAGAUACUGAACACAUAUCAGUUAUUUCUAUAGAUAGACUGAUAUCAGUGCUCUGCAUUUUCUCCAAUCUUAGGGUUUUACUGAGCAAAACAAAAAAGUUUUUCUAGAAGGUUCCUGUGCCUCCCAAGUAUCAACACUAUAAAUACUGUGACAGUCAAAUGCACUAUCACUACGUAAAGAACCUCAUAGUG